rnacentral:rRNA from 1 species
GACGGAGGGUACAAGCGUUGUUCGGAUUGACUGGGCGUAAAGGGCGUGUAGGCGGUUGGUCAAGUCUGAUGUGAAAGCCCGGGGCUCAGCCCCGGAAGGGCAUCGGAAACUAGCCAGCUGGAGCGCGAUAGAGGAGGGUGGAAUUCCUGGUGUAGCGGUGAAAUGCGUAGAUAUCAGGAGGAACACCGGCGGCGAAGGCGGCCCUCUGGAUCGUUGCUGACGCUGAGACGCGAAAGCGUGGGGAGCAAACAGG